rnacentral:rRNA from 1 species
CGAACGCUGGCGGCAGGCCUAACACAUGCAAGUCGAGCGAGAUCUUCGGAUCUAGCGGCGGACGGGUGAGUAACGCGUGGGAAUAUGCCCUUCUCUACGGAAUAGUCCCGGGAAACUGGGUUUAAUACCGUAUACGCCCUUCGGGGGAAAGAUUUAUCGGAGAAGGAUUAGCCCGCGUUGGAUUAGGUAGUUGGUGGGGUAAUGGCCUACCAAGCCGACGAUCCAUAGCUGGUUUGAGAGGAUGAUCAGCCACACUGGGACUGAGACACGGCCCAGACUCCUACGGGAGGCAGCAGUGGGGAAUCUUAGACAAUGGGGGCAACCCUGAUCUAGCCAUGCCGCGUGAGUGAUGAAGGCCUUAGGGUCGUAAAGCUCUUUCGCCAGGGAUGAUAAUGACAGUACCUGGUAAAGAAACCCCGGCUAACUCC